AGAGUUGAUCCUGGCUUAGGAUGAACGCUAGCGGCAGGCUAACACAUGCAAGUCGAGGGGCAACGCGAGUAGCAAGUACUUGGCGGCGACCGGCGCAAGGGUGCGUAACGCGUGAGCAACAUGCCCGUAUCAGGGGGAUAAUCCAGGGAAACUUGGUCUAAUACCCCAUAGUAAUUUUGUAAGGCAUCUUAUAAGAUUUAAAGCUUUGGUGGAUACGGAUUGGCUCGCGUGACAUUAGCUGGAUGGUAAGGUAACGGCUUACCAUGGCUAUGAUGUCUAGGGGUUCUGAGAGGAAGGUCCCCCACACUGGAACUGAGACACGGUCCAGACUCCUACGGGAGGCAGCAGUGAGGAAUAUUGGACAAUGGAUGGAAAUCUGAUCCAGCCAUGCCGCGUGAAAAGGAAGAAGGUCCUAUGGAUUGUAAACUUCUUUUGUAUGGGAGCAAUAAGGCCUACGAGUAGGUUGAUGAGAGUACCAUACGAAUAAGCACCGGCUAACUCCGUGCCAGCCGCAGC
rnacentral:rRNA from 1 species